rnacentral:rRNA from 1 species
GACGAACGCUGGCGGCGUGCUUAACACAUGCAAGUCGAACGGUAAGGCCCUUCGGGUACGACGAGUGGCGAACGGGUGGAGUAACACGUGGGUGAUCUGCCCUGCACUUCGGGAUAAGCUUGGGAAACUGGGUCUAAUACCGGAUAGGACCACGGUCUGCAUGGAUUGUGGUGGAAAGCUUUUGCGGUGUGGGAUGGGCCCGCGGCCUAUCAGCUUGUUGGUGGGGUGAUGGCCUACCAAGGCGACGACGGGUAGCCGGCCUGAGAGGGUGUCCGGCCACACUGGGACUGAGAUACGGCCCAGACUCCUACGGGAGGCAGCAGUGGGGAAGUAUUGCACAAUGGGCGGCAAGCCUGAUGCAGCGACGCCGCGUGGGGGAGUGACGGCC